rnacentral:rRNA from 1 species
AUGCAAAUGGUCUCGGCGGGCCAUACUGCGAUUUCAGUCAAUGGGAGAACUAGCAAUUUUUUUAGAAACUCCAGAGGCCUCAGGCAGGGUGAUCCCGUUUCUCCUAUCCUAUUCAACUUCGUUGCGGAUGCGCUCUCUAACAUCAUGCCCAGAGCCGCGUCGGCUGGACACAUCUCCCCUGUUAGCUCCCACCUUAUUCCGGAGGGUGUCACCCACCUCCAGUAUCUAUGUAGCCACCAAGACACAACGCGUCUCAAUUCUGGACAGAUCUUGUCAAGAUCCGGCUGGUGUUUCAAGGCCUUGUUAAGUUUUUGGUCCACAAUGAUCUUGGCUUCAUGUCUCUUGGAAACCUGCUUCCUUCUCAGAACUUCGUCUUUUGGCUUCUAA